rnacentral:piRNA from 1 species
UGAUGAUGCACACCCUGGCUGAAGUGA